UACGGGGGGAGCAAGCGUUGUUCGGAUUUACUGGGCGUAAAGGGCGCGUAGGCGGCACCGCAAGUCGACUGUGAAAUCUCCGGGCUUAACCCGGAAAGGUCAGCCGAUACUGCGGGGCUAGAGUGCAGAAGGGGCAACUGGAAUUCUCGGUGUAGCGGUGAAAUGCGUAGAUAUCGAGAGGAACACCUGCGGCGAAGGCGGGUUGCUGGGCUGACACUGACGCUGAUGCGCGAAAGCGUGGGGAGCAAACAGG
rnacentral:rRNA from 1 species